AUGGCCGGCAGACGGGCAGCAAAAGGUUCUGGUGCUGCAUACCAACAACAACUUCGACCAUUCCCACAAAAAAAGAACUUCGGUCAGCAGAGGACCAACUGGGUGAUGCACCAGUACCACCUCGGGGACCUGGAGCAAGAGAAGGAGCGGGAGCUGGUCCUCUGCAAGAUUUUCUACCAGACGAACACUAGGGCCAGGACUAAAAAGAUUAUAUGUCGAGCAAGUUUCAACAGGGCUAUAGACUGCCCAGGCUUGGUUUUGUUUUUAACAGGCCCAGCCGAUGACGACAACGGGGCACAAAGAUCCAGCAGCGGGUAUCUACUGGCCUCUGGCCCGCCAGCGUUAGUUAUAUUGUGUCUUACAACACCGGCAUGCAGUUUUUUACUGAAUCAAAAACACAUCCCAAUUCUAUUUUCCUCUUGA
rnacentral:rRNA from 1 species